UACGGAGGGGGCUAGCGUUGUUCGGAAUUACUGGGCGUAAAGCGCACGUAGGCGGCUUUGUAAGUUAGAGGUGAAAGCCCGGGGCUCAACUCCGGAACUGCCUUUAAGACUGCAUCGCUAGAAUUGUGGAGAGGUAAGUGGAAUUCCGAGUGUAGAGGUGAAAUUCGUAGAUAUUCGGAAGAACACCAGUGGCGAAAGACG
rnacentral:rRNA from 1 species